rnacentral:rRNA from 1 species
UCCGAAGGGGGCUAGCGUUGCUCGGAAUCACUGGGCGUAAAGGGUGCGUAGGCGGGUCUUUAAGUCCGGGGUGAAAUCCUGGAGCUCAACUCCAGAACUGCCUUUGAUACUGAAGAUCUUGAGUUCGGGAGAGGUGAGUGGAACUGCGAGUGUAGAGGUGAAAUUCGUAGAUAUUCGCAAGAACACCAGUGGCGAAGGCGGCUCACUGGCCCGAUACUGACGCUGAGGCACGAAAGCGUGGGGAGCAAACAGG